GAUGAACGCUGGCGGCGUGCCUAAUACAUGCAAGUCGAGCGAACGGACGAGAAGCUUGCUUCUCUGAUGUUAGCGGCGGACGGGUGAGUAACACGUGGAUAACCUACCUAUAAGACUGGGAUAACUUCGGGAAACCGGAGCUAAUACCGGAUAAUCUUUUGAACCGCAUGGUUCAAAAGUGAAAGACGGUCUUGCUGUCACUUAUAGAUGGAUCCGCGCUGCAUUAGCUAGUUGGUAAGGUAACGGCUUACCAAGGCAACGAUGCAUAGCCGACCUGGGAGGGUGAUCGGCCACACGGGAACUGAGACACGGUCCAGACGCCUACGGGAGGCAGCAGUAGGGAAUCUUCCGCAAUGGGCGAAAGCCUGACGGAGCAACGCCGCGUGAGUGAUGAAGGUCUUCGGAUCGUAAAACUCUGUUAUUAGGGAAGAACAUAUGUGUAAGUAACUGUGCACAUCUUGACGGUACCUAAUCAGAAAGCCACGGCUAACUACGUG
rnacentral:rRNA from 1 species